AGCUCCAAUAGCGUAUAUUAAAGUUGUUGCCGUUAAAAAGCUCGUAGUUGAACUUUCAUGGGCUCACGCGGUCUGCCUCACGGCAAGUACUGUGUGGGUCCGUGCUCCUGGGUGGUGAGCCGUCAUGUCGUUUACUCGGUGUGGCGGGGAACCACCUCUGUUACCUUGAGAAAAUUAGAGUGUUCAAAGCAGGCCUAUGCCCGAAUACAUUAGCAUGGAAUAACGAAAUAGGACGUGCGGUUCUAUUU
rnacentral:rRNA from 1 species